ensembl:lncRNA
GAACGCCACGAGGGAGAAGGAGUGCUUUGGGCGCUGGAGAAGGGCGAAGUAGAUGAGAGCAAUUGUGGAGUCGCUAAGCGAAUUGGAGGAUUUGAAAACGGCCACUGGAACAGGUUUGCCAAAGCGAAGUUUGUGGAAAGAAGUCGUACUCACUCGUGUCUGUUGUACGAAGGUUCCGUAGGGAAAUAGUGACAUUGUGGAACAACGAAGACAUUUCUGGGCGUCUGCACGAAGCUGGGGAGAGAAAGAGAGCGGGAGGAGAUCAGUAUUACGAAGACUGUGAGUACAUUGGAUUGCUUAGAUUGUUGUUUAUAUCUGGAUGAGAAAGAGAGCGGGAGAAGAUCAGUAUCACGAAGACUGUGAGUACAUUGGAUUGCUUACAUAUCAUUGCUCAUACUUGGAUGGGGAUAACUAAUACCUGUUGGAGUGAUUAACAGCUUGUUGAGCGGCCCCAUCGUUGGAGGACGAGACGAGUGGGCGAGCCGAAGUAGAGCGUGGGUGAAUGGAUGUUAUUUGGCUGUGGCCACACCGUAAAGUUUGGAGCACUUACCGUGACAGCGACUGCAAACUCCUCCAGGACGAAAUCCGACCGGGCGUGGAGUACCGACCUUAAAAAUCACUGAAGUGUGUGUAGUGCAGUGGGUGAGUCUGUCUUUGACGUGUGUACACCGAAGCUUUGCAGUGCUGUGCUGUGCCGUGUCCUUGUUGUCUGUACUCUCCUUCCAGGCCGAGAAAAGUUCCUGUUGGAGAGAACGUAGGCUGCUGUGGCGGUGCCCACCUAUUCCACCUACGCCCGCCUAUAACUCCGUUCCCCGGAUCCAGCUUGAAGGUGAAGCGUGAAUGCAAAACAAGGUAUUGUGCGGAUAUUGUGGGGAAAGCUACUGACCUUGAAUACGCUCUGUAAGCCCAGCGUGAAGAUACAGUUACUUGUUGAAUACUUACCUGUCUGUACGAGCUAAAGCUACUGACCUUGAAUACGCCCUGUAAAGCCCAGCGUGAAGAUACAGCUACUUGUUGAAUACUUAUUCGCCUGCACGAGUUAAAAGCCAUUGCUCUGGAACACUCAGUAAGCCUAGUGUGAAGAGUCAGUCACUUUGCUCCAUACCUAUCUGUGUUACGAGUAAAAAGUUACUCGCUUCUGAUAUACCGGUGGACAUCCAGGGGCAUGGCCUAGUUACCCUGCUACAUCCUUACCGUUGUUACUUACCUGUGCCUUCAGGGAUUUGUGUGUUACCUUAUAUCUACCUAGGAGGUCUAUGGGAGUGGAGGAGCUGUCCAGACGCUGGAGAAGAGAAGGGCGCCACGGGAAAUCAAGCCGUUAAGGAAGAACUUAGGAUUAGUCAAGAGACUGGUGGAAGUUCUGGGAAAGGACGGAAGAGCCCUUGCCCCCUCCCCUUGUGAUUACUUACCAAAGACCUCCAGAGUUCUCAGGCUCAGUCCCCUUCUGUCAAGAGACGAAAAUCAAAGUUUUAGAUUCCCCUUUUUUUUUUUCUUUCCUAGAUUACCUUUUUAAAUAAUUUAAAUAAAGUUGUUUUAAAUUAC